CAGAAGAGAAUCAUCUGCAAUAAGGAACCCAUGGAUGAAUACCAUCUGGUCCUGGUGAUUUACUGCACAGAGUCCCUCAAGUUGCUCCAUACCUUUCUCCUGAGAGACUGAAGAAUCUCUGUCAAGGCCGUUCUCUGCUUUGCCAUAAAAUGUGUCCUUGGAACAAGAAUUUCCCCAUUGUCUUCUUCAAUAAAUACUGAUUCAAAGUAUUCAUUUAGCUGUUCCUCUCCUUCAUCAUUCCAUUUAACAUUCUCUUUCUC
rnacentral:lncRNA from 1 species